UACAGAGGGUGCAAGCGUUGUUCGGAAUUAUUGGGCGUAAAGGGUGCGUAGGUGGGCAGGUAAGUCAGUGGUGAAAUCUCUGGGCUUAACCCGGAAACUGCCGUUGAUACUAUCUGUCUUGAAUGUAGUGGAGGUGAGCGGAAUAUGUCAUGUAGCGGUGAAAUGCUUAGAUAUGACAUAGAACAUCGAUUGCGAAGGCAGCUCGCUACACUAUGAUUGACACUGAGGCACGAAAGCGUGGGGAUCAAACAGG
rnacentral:rRNA from 1 species